rnacentral:snoRNA from 1 species
AUACCAUGAUGAGGGCAACUGGCGCAAAGCAUCUUGAAUCUAUCCCAAGCUUGGUAAAAAUUUUCAUCUUUUUUGUUGUUGAAAGGCGGCAAUCCUUUGUCUUCCUUU